UACAGAGGGUGCGAGCGUUGUCCGGAAUCACUGGGCGUAAAGGGCGCGUAGGUGGCCCGACAAGUCCGUGGUGAAAGCUCGACGCUCAACGUCGAGUCGGCCAUGGAUACUGUUGGGCUGGAGCACUGUAGAGGCUCAUGGAAUUCCGGGUGUAGCGGUGGAAUGCGUAGAGAUCCGGAAGAACACCGGUGGCGAAGGCGGCUCGCUGGGCAGUGGCUGACGCUGAGGCGCGACAGCGUGGGGAGCAAACAGG
rnacentral:rRNA from 1 species